rnacentral:misc_RNA from 1 species
GGGUUUUUGAGGGGGGAGAUGGCACGGGAGUAUUUGCUUUAUUUUGCCCGGCUCUCCCCCACUUUGUGUGCGUGUCUGGUCGUGCCUUCCUUUGCUUCUCUCUUUUCCUCUUUUCCUCUUUUCCUUUUCUAUCUUUAUACUGGAAGGUUUACUAAACAAACAUACUUUGCAACUAAGGCAAACAAGGCAACAGCCAUGCAGGAAUCGGGAUUGUCCUUCAUGAAUUCGACCACCAAAGGUAUAAUACUUAUCUAUCAUCUACCUUUAGAUAUUAUUCAUAGAUUCUCUCAGAUAUGAUCGGCUUAAACGUGUUUAAACAAUAACUCUAUUAGCUGAUCAAAAUAGUUGUAAUGCACUCUCAUUCAAAUGCCAAUAGUUUACCUUACUUGCAUCAAUUCUGCAAUCAUAUGCACAAGCUGGUUCGAAUUUUAUACUUGAAUUCUAACUUUAUAUUUUAUUAUCACGCACUGCAUUAAAAGUUAAAAACAAUGAGUUUAUUUAUAUUUAACAUUCAAGUUUGUCGUCCAUCCUAUCAACUUGUUGCAGCUCAGUUCAUAUUUUAUGUCCAAAGUCGGGGUUAUUUUUUUUAAGAUGAUUUUGUAUCUGUUGAUCAUUCCGAGUAAAAAUAUUAUCUGCGCAUAAGGUUGUGGGUGAACGUGCUAGUUCGUAUUAUAUUUAAUUCUAACUUCAUAUUUUAUCAUCAUGCACUGCACUAAAAGUGGAAAUCAAUAAGUUUAUUUAUAUUUCACAAUCAAGUGUCCUUCAUCCUAUCAACUUGUUGCAGCCAGUUCAUAUUUUGUCUCGAAAAGUUAUAUCAUUCUGAGUAAAAAUAUUAUCUGCACAAAAGGUUGUUGAUGAUUUUUGACAAUGGAAGUAACUGAAUAACCUAAAUAGUAAAUGUGACAGAAUUGAACAGCAGGCACUGAGCCUAACAAGGUAGUUCAUAUUUAAUACCCAAAUUCAAGCUCUUCAUAAAUUCAUCUCUGCAGCAAAGAAAUAAGAGAAUAAUGGAAGUUAUUUAAAUAAAUGAUUGGUAGACAAAGGCAUUUUUGAUGGGAAGUUGGCAAAUAUUUUACAUCUGGAUGUUUUGUUUGCUUCUGCCACUUGCAAUUUACUUAAGAAGUUAAUUUAUAUGACAGCAUGGGUACGUAUGUAUGCAAGUACAUGUGCAAUUUUGUAUAUACAUGUGCAAUUGUUUAUAUACAUACACGUGCAAUGAUGGCAUGAAAGUCUUAUGGGCAAGAAUACCAUUGUGUAUUCUGGGGUGUUGGGCUUAUUAGAUGUUGCUAAAUCUUUUUUGUUUCCAUGUUAAUGAUUUUUGUUGUAGAGA